UACGAAGGGGGCUAGCGUUGCUCGGAAUCACUGGGCGUAAAGCGCACGUAGGCGGCUUUCUAAGUCAGGGGUGAAAUCCUGGAGCUCAACUCCAGAACUGCCUUUGAUACUGGAGAGCUUGAGUCCGGAAGAGGUGAGUGGAACUCCGAGUGUAGAGGUGAAAUUCGUAGAUAUUCGCAAGAACACCAGUGGCGAAGGCGGCUCACUGGCCCGGUACUGACGCUGAGGUGCGAAAGCGUGGGAGGCAACAGGAUAG
rnacentral:rRNA from 1 species